rnacentral:rRNA from 1 species
UACGUAGGGCGCAAGCGUUGUCCGGAAUUAUUGGGGCGUAAAGAGCUCGUAGGCGGCUUGUCACGUCGGGUGUGAAAGCCCCGGGGCUUAACCCCGGGUCUGCAUUCGAUACGGGCUAGCUAGAGUGUGGUAGGGGAGAUCGGAAUUCCUGGUGUAGCGGUGAAAUGCGCAGAUAUCAGGAGGAACACCGGUGGCGAAGGCGGAUCUCUGGGCCAUUACUGACGCUGAGGAGCGAAAGCGUGGGGAGCGAACAGG